rnacentral:rRNA from 1 species
AGAGUUUGAUCCUGGCUCAGAUUGAACGCUGGCGGCAGGCCUAACACAUGCAAGUCGAGCGGUAACAUUUCUAGCUUGCUAGAAGAUGACGAGCGGCGGACGGGUGAGUAAUGCUUGGGAACAUGCCUUGAGGUGGGGGACAACAGUUGGAAACGACUGCUAAUACCGCAUAAUGUCUACGGACCAAAGGGGGCUUCGGCUCUCGCCUUUAGAUUGGCCCAAGUGGGAUUAGCUAGUUGGUGAGGUAAUGGCUCACCAAGGCGACGAUCCCUAGCUGGUUUGAGAGGAUGAUCAGCCACACUGGGACUGAGACACGGCCCAGACUCCUACGGGAGGCAGCAGUGGGGAAUAUUGCACAAUGGGCGCAAGCCUGAUGCAGCCAUGCCGCGUGUGUGAAGAAGGCCUUCGGGUUGUAAAGCACUUUCAGUCAGGAGGAAAGGUUAGUAGUUAAUACCUGCUAGCUAUGACGUUACUGACAGAAGAAGCACCGGCUAACUCCGUGCCAGCAGCCGCGGUAAUACGGAGGGUGCGAGCGUUAAUCGGAAUUACUGGGCGUAAAGCGUACGCAGGCGGUUUGUUAAGCGAGAUGUGAAAGCCCCGGGCUCAACCUGGGAACUGCAUUUCGAACUGGCAAACUAGAGUGUGAUAGAGGGUGGUAGAAUUUC